rnacentral:rRNA from 1 species
AGAACGAACGCUGGCGGCAGGCUUAACACAUGCAAGUCGAACGGGUGUAGCAAUACACCAGUGGCAGACGGGUGAGUAACACGUGGGAACCUUCCUCGUAGUACGGAACAACUCAGGGAAACUUGUGCUAAUACCGUAUACGUCCGAGAGGAGAAAGAUUUAUCGCUAUGAGACGGGCCCGCGUCGGAUUAGGUAGUUGGUGGGGUAACGGCCUACCAAGCCUACGAUCCGUAGCUGAUCUGAGAGGAUGAUCAGCCACACUGGGACUGAGACACGGCCCAGACUCCUACGGGAGGCAGCAGUGGGGAAUCUUGGACAAUGGGCGCAAGCCUGAUCCAGCCAUGCCGCGUGAGUGAAGAAGGCCUUAGGGUUGUAAAGCUCUUUUGGCAGGGACGAUAAUGACGGUACCGCAGAAUAAGCCCCGGCAAACUUCGUGCCAGCAGCCGC